GUUAAAAGAGAAUAUUUUUAUUAAGCACAUAAUUAAUGUGUUGAACUCCUCACCACGAGAUACCAGUGAUGUAAUAGCAACAGACAGAAAAGGCCUGUAAAUUAAUGAAUGUCGUUACACUAGACAGAAUAUUAAAAUUUUCAUGGAUGUAAAGCAAUUAGAGAAUUGCUAGUCAUAUCAGAUUUUUUGACAAAGUAAAAAAAAAAGCAUGGAAAUGAAAGUGAAAUAAUACUAAAUCCCCUUAUUCAAACAUGGUUAUUACAACUGUUAUGCAAAGCACACCAUGCACCACAACUCAGCUUCUGAAAGCUUGAACUUUUAUUGUGAAUCUCUUAGUUAAGAUCUUUCCCUCCCUUCAACACUAAUUAUUUUCGAAGUAAAAUGUGUACAUCUUGGAUUUUUUCCAGUCAGUUCUACUGAGUAUAGUGAUCUGGUGAAGAUUUGUAAAUAGUGAAUAAGAUAAAGUGGUGUCUUUGACAGGCAAAACUAAUGUUGUGAUGCAUGGUCUGGAAUACACAACCAUUCUAAACAUCAAAAAAGCAUUUUUUCAAACAUUGCUCAAAUUGAACUAAUUAACAGAAGUAGAACAUUUUGUACACUAGCCAAAUAAUUUUUCACACAUAAACCUUUUCCUUUAGUUUGGUGAAAAUGCAUUGUCCCUUUUAAAGAAGGUUAAGUGUGUACGUAAGUGUGUGCCCAGUCCUCAUUCAGCAGAUUGCUGCAGCCCAAGCACUGCCUGUUGGGAGGGUACGUUUUACAGUCUGGGCUGUAAAUAAUCUCCUUUUUCCAUGAGAUUUGUGUUGAAAACUGUAGAUUAUCUUAAAAUAUCCUAAAAGUAUGAUGAUGUCAAAGUCACAAAAAAAAAAAUCAGUUUGUUAAAGUUCUUAAGUAUGACUACUCUAACACUGACAAAGAAAUAUCAGGCAAUGUGAAAAGUCAGUUUCAAGAUCAGAUUAACUGAAAAAUAUUUCUUUUGAUUUUUUUUUUUUUAAUGGAUGCCACCCCUGUGCAAUUUGUUUCAACUUUGCUGGAGUAUUUGAUGUUGGCUGCCAUCAGUUCCUUUAAACUAAUAGAUAAAUAGGGUUUGGCAUACUGAUUCCCGUGACAGACUAGCCUAUUUACUUCUGUAGCUUGCUGUUCUAAGAUUAGUGCAGGUGUGUUGAUAAGCUUCUCAGUAUAUGCUCAUUAGGAAACCUGUCUUUUCUGUGUACAGAAUCAAGAAAAGGAAGUAUAUGUAAUGAAUGGUACAUCUGCUUUUAGGCUAACACACUUAAGGACAAAGUUACUUCUUCAUUUGAAAUGUAACUAGGUCUAAACAAAGCUAGAUGUGUCAAUCAUAAAUUAUAUAUAGGUUAUUUUCAUGUUUAGUGAUUUCUAUUAGCACAGAAAUUCAAAUUUUCAAUAUAGGAUUAUGCUGAUGAAAAGCACUAUUUUUUUUAUGCAAUAUAUUGUAACAACUUUUAAAAAAAAAAAGUUGGAAUUAAAACAUCUGCUACUAGUUUACACGGAGUAGGCACCAGUAGUACAAAACAUAUUAUGCCAUUUUAUAGACAGAGCUAUAAUAAUGAAAACAUUGCUAAAGCAAUGAGACUUGCCAGCUACUGAUGGGACUCAGGAGAAAUUCUUUAACAGAUGUUUCCACAUCAAACAGAUACUUAUCCCUCACUGAUUAUCAUGAUCUUGAAAAUGCAUUACUUAAUUCAACAAUCAACACCUCUUCAUCAGUCCCAUUUAAAAAAAAAAUCAUUUUUUCAAUAGGUUUUUCCUUCUACACAGCAGCUGAUAAAAUAUAUUAUGGCCUUAAUUUCCUUAUGGUGAAGCUGUAUUACAGCAUUAUUGUGUUCAUGGCAUAAUUAGGAUCCUGUCAGCACAUCAGUCAUACACUGGUGAAUACACAUCUCAUUUACUUUCCCAUUUUAAAACACACAAUCCUCAUAGUGACUAGUGACUACUGUACUACAAGCUGACAUGACUGCGUGCAUACUUCUUUAAAAUUUCAACUGCUGUCCUCUGAAUGCACUGAAUAAUAUUACAUCUGGAUAGCCUCUUUCUUUAGUUGGAAGUUUCACCAUUAAACAUUGUUUAGACACCUAUGAAGUAGAGAUAUCAAACCCUAUCUUGAGUAGGUAGUCAUCACCUAAAGAAAAAAACUUUAUCAGCUUAUACUCUGACUGCAAUUAGCAAGAAAGUAAGUUUGAGAUACUAAACAAGCCUGGAAAUAUGGAGGGUCAAAUUAACACUUUUUGAACAAAAUGCCCAGUUCUAUUUGUUUCAUCUUCUUUAAUUUAUAAAAAUCUUCAAACCCAGGUCACACUAAUAAUAUUUUUAUAUCUAUAACAUAUAUACUUUAUUCCUAAAAUAAGUUGCUCAGCUCACAAAACAUACAUUCCACAUGUAACACCACUGUACAGUGAAGUGAACACAUUUUUACACACAAAAUACCUUGAAAUGAGCUGUAGCAAAUAGACACCGAAAAGAAAUUCUUGCCAAGGAAAUGUGAGAGGCCCCUUGAUUUUUCACGUUAUUAGAAAUGUUUAGAAUUAUGUUUUACCUUUUUGUCAAAUUAUAUACCUCUUGAGUUUUCACUGAUUUUCAUAAGGAAAAUAAAACAGCUCAAUUUAAGUGUUCUACUACUUUUAAUUUCCUUUAAUAUUUAUCCUGUUAGUAUGAAUUAUAACUUAUGUACCUCAAAUGGCAUAACUAUUUUUACUCUACAGCCCAUGCUAUAGUUUUUUAUGAGUGGGAUGAAAGUAACAGGCAUCUUGGGACAAGAAAAAUGACUUCUUAACAGAAAGAAAUCUUUAUAAAAAGUAUUUUUAAUUCAAUUAAAGUUUGUUGCUACUUUUCAUAGGUGAGUCAGGAGUAAUAAAUCAAUUGAAACAAAAUUUUUCAGCAUAGGUGUGGCAUAAAAACCAAACCUCUUGAUAUUUCUUUAUAGUAAGUAAUCUAAUUUAGUCUGGAAUACAAGACCAAAUCACUGAAUAAACAAAUAAUUCCAGCAAAACUGUUUUUAAAAUUAUAUCCUGGGAAACAGUGAAAUUGAAUAUCUGAACUUAGCCUAGCAGCUUAAAACCUACACUUCAAAAAAUAUCACCUUGCCUACCUCUUGCACAUAAAUCAUAGAGUGCCACCUUGCCUGUGCAGCCCUUACUUUCUCAACUGCUAAAAAUUGCUGGCAUCAUUAACUCAGUUCAUAUUAUGCUAUUUCUCUUUCUGCUGAACCUGUCAUCACCUCAUUUUC
rnacentral:lncRNA from 1 species